GACGAACCGAGCGAACGUUGUUCGGAAUCACUGGGCUUAAAGGGCGCGUAGGCGGGUGCUCAAGUCCGGGUGAAAUCCUCCAGCUCAACUGGAGAACUGCCUCGGAUACUGGGUGCCUCGAGUGUGGUAGGGGUGUGGCGGAACUAUCGGUGGAGCGGUGAAAUGCGUUGAUAUCGAUAGGAACUCCGGUGGCGAAGGCGGCACACUGGACCACAACUGACGCUGAGGCGCGAAAGCCAGGGGAGCAAACGGG
rnacentral:rRNA from 1 species